GACGAACGCUGGCGGCGUGCCUAAUACAUGCAAGUCGAGCGGACCGGAUUGGGGCUUGCCUUGAUUCGGUCAGCGGCGGACGGGUGAGUAACACGUGGGCAACCUGCCCGCAAGACCGGGAUAACUCCGGGAAACCGGAGCUAAUACCGGAUAACACCGAAGACCGCAUGGUCUUCGGUUGAAAGGCGGCCUUUGGGCUGUCACCUGCGGAUGGGCCCGCGGCGGAUUAGCUAGUUGGUGAGGUAACGGCUCACCAAGGCGACGAUGCGUAGCCGGCCGGGGAGGGUGACCGGCCACACUGGGACUGAGACACGGCCCAGACUCCUACGGGAGGCAGCAGUAGGGAAUCUUCCGCAAUGGGCGAAAGCCUGACGGAGCGACGCCGCGUGAGCGAAGAAGGCCUUCGGGUCGUAAAGCUCUGUUGUGAGGGACGAAGGAGCGCCGUUCGAAGAGGGCGGCGCGGUGACGGUACCUCACGAGAAAGCCCCGGCUAACUACGUGCCAGCCGCCGCAGUAA
rnacentral:rRNA from 1 species